CCUACGGGAGGCAGCAGUGAGGAAUAUUGGUCAAUGGACGAGAGUCUGAACCAGCCAAGUAGCGUGAAGGAUGACUGCCCUAUGGGUUGUAAACUUCUUUUAUAUGGGAAUAAAAUGUUCCACGUGUGGGCUUUUGUAUGUACCAUAUGAAUAAGGAUCGGCUAACUCCGUGCCAGCAGCCGCGGUAAUACGGAGGAUCCGAGCGUUAUCCGGAUUUAUUGGGUUUAAAGGGAGCGUAGGUGGAUUGUUAAGUCAGUUGUAAAAGUUUGCGGCUCAACCGUAAAAUUGCAGUUGAAACUGGCAGUCUUGAGUACAGUAGAGGUGGGCGGAAUUCGGGGUGUAGCGGUGAAAUGCUUAGAUAUCACGAAGAACUCCGAUUGCGAAGGCAGUUCACUGGACUGCAACUGACACUGAGGCUCGAAAGUGUGGGUAUCAAACAGGAUUAGUACCCGUGUAGUC
rnacentral:rRNA from 1 species